rnacentral:rRNA from 1 species
UACGUAGGGUGCAAGCGUUAUCCGGAAUUAUUGGGCGUAAAGAGCUCGUAGGCGGUUUGUCGCGUCUGCUGUGAAAACCCGAGGCUCAACCUCGGGCCUGCAGUGGGUACGGGCAGACUAGAGUGCGGUAGGGGAGAUUGGAAUUCCUGGUGUAGCGGUGGAAUGCGCAGAUAUCAGGAGGAACACCAAUGGCGAAGGCAGCACUCUGGGACGUGACUGACGCUGAGACGCGAAAGCGUGGGGAGCGAACAGG